rnacentral:rRNA from 1 species
AAUGCAAGUCGAACGAUGAAGUUCCUUCGGGAAUGGAUUAGUGGCGAACGGGUGAGGAACACGUGAGAAACCUGCCUUUCAUUCUGGGAUAACACCGGGAAACCGGUGCUAAUACCGGAUACUCCAUCUUGGCGGCAUCGCCGAGCUGGGAAAAAAUUUUGAUGGAAGAUGGUCUCGCGGCCUAUCAGCUAGUUGGUGAGGUAAAGGCUCACCAAGGCGACGACGGGUAGCCGGCCUGAGAGGGCGACCGGCCACACUGGGACUGAGACACGGCCCAGACUCCUACGGGAGGCAGCAGUAGGGAAUAUUGGGCAAUGGGCGAAAGCCUGACCCAGCGACGCCGCGUGAGGGAUGAAGGUCUUCGGAUUGUAAACCUCUUUCAGUAGGGAAGAAGCGAAAGUGACGGUACCUAAAGAAGAAGCACCGGCUAACUAUGUGCCAGCAGCCGCGGUAAUACAUAGGGUGCAAGCGUUGUCCGGAAUUAUUGGGCGUAAAGAGCUCGUAGGUCGUUUGUCGCGUCGAUUGUGAAAAUCUGAGGCUCAACCUCAGACCUGCAGUCGAUACGGGCAAACUAGAGUGUGGUAGGGGAGACUGGAAUUCCUGGUGUAGCGGUGGAAUGCGCAGAUAUCAG